UACGUAGGGGGCUAGCGUUGCUCGGAAUUACUGGGCGUAAAGCGCACGUAGGCGGCUUUCUAAGUCGGGGGUGAAAUCCUGGAGCUCAACUCCAGAACUGCCUUCGAUACUGGAGAGCUCGAGUCCGGGAGAGGCGAGUGGAACUGCGAGUGUAGAGGUGAAAUUCGUAGAUAUUCGCAAGAACACCAGUGGCGAAGGCGGCUCACUGGCCCGGUACUGACGCUGAGGUGCGAAAGCGUGGGGAGCAAACAGG
rnacentral:rRNA from 1 species